UACACUGAUGCUACAAUUUUCACUGGAAAAAAUUAUUCAAAUCUUUAUCAGACACAAAUUAACAUGCUAGUAAUUUUACGGAGCCUCAACUUUUAAUUAAUAAUAAAGGGCACUUCGCCAGAUCUUCAAUGGCACCUUUGUUAAGCUCAACAAGGCUUCAGUUUACAUGCCAAGAUUGUGAACCAUAUAUAGCAUGGAGGUACCCAAACCUGAAGUCAAUGAAUGAAUUGAUCUACAAGCAUGGCUAUGGCAAGAUCAACAAGAAGCGAAUUGCCCUGACAGAUGACACACUGGUUGCCCGAUCUCUUCGUAAAUAUGGCAUCAUCUGCAUGAAGGAUCUGAUUCACGCGAUCUAUACCAUUGGAAAACGUUUCAAAGAAGCGAACAACUUUUUAACAACUUUCAAAUUAUCUUCUCCACGCGGCAGAAUGAAGAAAAAGACCAUCCAUUUUGUAGAAGGUGGAGAUGCUGACAACAGGGAAGACCAGAUCAAUAGGCUUACUAGAAGGAUUAACUAAGGUCUUGUGGGCAGAGGCACCAACAGUCUUUUGUGCUAUACUAUCGUUUCCCGGACCGUACAGCUUAGGAAGAUGGAGACAGUGUCUUUCUCCAGAGCAGAAGUCUAAUUUACAGGGCACUAGCCAAUAAACCUAAGAUGAAUAAAGGGAAAAAGAUGCUUUCCUGAAAGAGUGUCAACUGAAAUUUGAGCGAUCCUAUGAAGAUGACAGCGCCCCACUCAUGGAUGGUAUGGUGGCAGUGGCAUGGGAACAUGCCCCAUAAGAAGAGCCAUUACUGAGAUUUGUCCAUCACUAGCAUGGCUGAUACAUGCACUGGUCCAUGUACAUUAGAAUAUAAAUGGCCAGAAGACUGACUUGUUUCCUAUAGGGCUUAUUUAGAAACUUCACUCAAUCAACAUUUACUCAGUACUUAAAACAUCUUAGGCACUAUGUAAAGUGCUUUGAAUAUGAGUAUUUUUGAAAAGCACUUUAAAUGGUUUGUUCUGGGGUGCCUGGCUGGCUCAGAACCCGAGACUCUUUAUCUUGGGGUUGUGAGUUUGAGCCCCACAUUAGGUGUAGAGAUUACUUUAAAAAAUAAAAUAAAAAGGAAUGCCUGGGUGGCUCAGCAGUUGAGCAUCUGCCUUUGGUUCAGGGCGUGAUCCCGGUCUGGGAGUCUGGGGGUGGAGUCCUGCAUCCAGCUCCCCACAGGGAGCCUGCUUCUCCCUCUG